GAUGAACGCUGGCGGCGUGCCUAAUACAUGCAAGUCGAGCGAACGGACGAGAAGCUUGCUUCUCUGAUGUUAGCGGCGGACGGGUGAGUAACACGUGGAUAACCUACCUAUAAGACUGGGAUAACUUCGGGAAACCGGAGCUAAUACCGGAUAAUAUUUUGAACCGCAUGGUUCAAAAGUAAAAGACGGUCUUGCUGUCACUUAUAGAUGGAUCCGCGCUGCAUUAGCUAGUUGGUAAGGUAACGGCUUACCAAGGCAACGAUGCAUAGCCGACCUGAGAGGGUGAUCGGCCACACUGGAACUGAGACACGGUCCAGAAUACUACGGGAGGCAGCAGUAGGAAAUCUACCGCAAUGGGCGAAAGCCUGACGGAGCAACGCCGCGUGAGUGAUGAAGAUCUUCGGAUCGUAAAACUCUGUUAUUAGGGAAGAACAUAUGUGUAAGUAACUGUGCACAUCUUGACGGUAACUAAUCAGAAAGCCACGGCUAACUACGUG
rnacentral:rRNA from 1 species